GAAAACCUGUCUCAGUUCGGAUUGGAGUCUGCAACCCGACUCCAUGAAGCUGGAUUCGCUAGUAAUCGCGCAUCAGCCACGGCGCGGUGAAUACGUUCCCGGGCCUUGUACACACCGCCCGUCAAGCCAUGGAAGCCGGGAGUGCCUGAAGUGCGUGACCGCAAGGAACGCCCUAGGGUAAAACCGGUGACUGGGGCUAAGUCGUAACAAGGUACC
rnacentral:rRNA from 1 species